rnacentral:rRNA from 1 species
UACGUAGGGUGCGAGCGUUAAUCGGAUUUACUGGGCGUAAAGCGUGCGCAGGCGGCUUGUUAAGCAAGAUGUGAAAUCCCCGGGCUCAACCUGGGAAUGGCGCUUGUGACUGGCGGGCUCGAGUACGGUAGAGGGGGGUGGAAUUCCUGGUGUAGCAGUGAAAUGCGUAGAGAUCAGGAGGAACACCGAUGGCGAAGGCAGCCCCCUGGGCCUGUACUGACGCUCAUGCACGAAAGCGUGGGGAGCAAACAGG